rnacentral:lncRNA from 1 species
GAGCUACCUUGAAAGACUGUAGACUUGCCAGGCAUGGUGACACACACCCUUAAUACUAGCAAGUGGGCGGCAGAGGCAGGUGGAUCUCUGUGUGUAAGGCUAGAUUGGUUUACAGAGCAAGGUCCAGGGCAACCAGGACUAAACAGAAGCCAUGUCUCAAAAGAACAAAAGGAGAAAAAGGAGAAAGAAAGGAAGAAAGAAAGAAAGAAAGAAAGAAAGAAAGAAAGAAAGAAAGAAAGAAAGAAAGAAAGAAAGGAAGAGAGAGAGAAAGAGAGAAAGAAAGGUAGAAAGACAGGCAUAUUCAGUAAUGGGAAGUUGAGCCCUGAGGCCUGAGGCCCCAGCCUGCCCUGGACAGCGGGAGGGUACAGUAGACAAUUUUGUUCUUUGCUUACAAAAGGCCACGCAGCAAGCCUUGGAGACCUCAAGAAAUGGUGAAGAGUCAUUCAAGUGCAGAGAGCAGGAAAUGAGAGUCGGGUUUGCCUCAGAGAAAAAGAACUCUGGUUUCAGUGUGCAGAAUGCAUCCAGAGGCAGGCCCCAGCAAGGGGGAAGCAACCAUGGAACUUACCAGACAGACUGCACUGCCAUGACUUGGUGGUGAGGAAGUGUGUGAAGAGGCUGAGAGGGAGAAACCACAUUAUCCUGGGCUUCUGCCUCAGCUAAAAUGGAAGCAAUGGGAGAGGUCUGUGUUGGGGGCUAGAGAGAGAUCUUGAGGGGCCUAGACAACAUCUGAACGGGAUGUCACUCAUUCCUUCAGCUGAGGGUAACUAAGGAAACAGAUGAGUGUUGGAUGAAACAGGGUGGAAUGUGUAGAGAUCCUUCUGACCGAACUGGGUGAGAGAUGAGUCAGGUCCAUCCCUGUCUCUUCAUAGCCAUCAUGGACUUAACACCCCACUGGUCCCCGCGAGAGGCAAAAUUUCUUCCAGCCACUCACCACAGACUUUCCCACUGCCCCCCUCGCCCCCUGAAUGUAUUGGGAGAGACACUGGUAGAAAAGGUGAAGAGGGGCCACAAGGAAGAGCUAGCCUUCUUCAGAGCCUGCAAAAGAAGUUCACCUUGCUAGAAAUACACUGGGCAGUGUUUAUGGAUGAGAUAGGCGAGCCAAGAUUUGCACAGGGGCUGGGAACUUUGGGGAGAAAGAAAUAAAACAGAACAGAACUAAGAAGCUUAUGAACAGGGCUGAGGUCUUAUUUGAUAAAAGAGUGGGGCACAGGGCGUUAGAGUAGGGGACUAUUUGCUUUGCUUCGCUUUGUUUUGUUUGAAACGUGGUCUUAUUGUAUAGUCCAGGUUGGUGUUUAGCUCAUGCUCUCCUAAGUGUUGAAUUAUAUUUAUGACACCACAGUUAGCUAGGAGACUGGUUUCAGGAAUGAGCCUUAGAAGGGGCUUUUGAAGUGACUGGGUCCAUUAGACUUUGAGAGCAGGACAGGUUAAUAUCUAAUUAAAAAAAGAAG